UGGAAGGGACCCCGAGGAUCAUCAAGUUCCAACCACCCUGCCAUAGGCAGAGGCACCAAGCUCCAAAUCUGGUUCUAGACCAGGUUGCCAAGGGCCCCAUCCAAUUAUUAUAUCCAAUUAUUGCAUCCAAUUAUAUUAUAUAUAUAUAUUUAUUUAUGUAUAUAUUUGUAUUAUAUUCCUUAACUCUUACAAGAUACUCCAAGAAGCUCUGGCACAUAGCUUCUGCUGAUUUGCUGCAUUGCAAAGGUGCAGCUGGGCUUGAUGAAGGUGAUACAACCAUGCCUAGAGGAGAGCUGAUAGGAGUACCAGGUGACAAGGGUGUUGGGAGUCUGGAGGAGUGCCAUCAGCCUCUAAUGAGAUACAGAAUUCUUGAAUAGUUGCCAUACAAUUGCAUUAACAAAUUUCCCCUGCUGAAAUUUCAAGCCCUUCCAAACAGGCAUGCCUCAAAGGAAAACUGGGAUGGAGAACAGUCUGCAAGACAUCCUGAGCUCCAAAGAGUUUCAGUCUAAUCUAGUUCAGAUUUAAUUUAGUUCUAAUUGCCCUGAAUACUAAACUUACCUUAGAAGGCUAGAAAGUACUUUAUUUUUCUUGUCACUUUUAGCUUUCCAACACUGCAUUUCUCUACUUCUUUUUAAUCAAAUAAAUCUCACAUAUGCUAUGCAUAGUAUAUGUAUCUGUAUUCUUUGCUCUUUUGUUGAAUUUGUUUGGAGUCUGUCAUCUUCUAUUUUAUGCCAAAGAUAGGGCACAGUGUUUGUCAUUGCACUCACACUGAAAAGGUGAUAUUGAAAUGUGUGCAGAAUAAUGCUGGAUCAUGCCUGCUAUUUGGGAAGAAAUGUACAGUAUCUCUUCUGCCCAUGCUGAUGUGCUGUUUCUGCCCCUUAUCGUUUUUAACAACUUCUCAGGUUUUGCCUGAAAACAUUUAUGAGUUUUGCUUGAGAAAAACAUUUCAAAUAUCUCUUUGUUGUGCCUUACACAUGAAUCUGUUGAAACAGAAUCAUAGGGUGCCGAUGUUUUAGUUUGUAUAGCAGUUGCUUCUUACUGGUGUGGCAGAAAAAAAUCAGCUUAAUUUCUGGAACAAUAGGAACAUGUUUUAAAUGGUUUUAUCUUGUUAUA